AAACAGCGGUUGCGAUAGACACCUAUAUACUGUUAGAUGCCCAUAUUGUCACUUUAACACAAUGCGCAUGUGUAGCAUGGUAUCUAAUUAUAUUCAUCCAGAAUCCUUUUAGCCUUACACUUAUAAUGAUGGAUGAGAGAUAGUCAGUGCGAAAGUGGUGCAUCACGGUUUAGAAGCAUAUCGGUGGCCUUUCUGUCAAAAUGCUGCCUCUCUGUUCAUUCUUCGCUGCCUCUCUGUUAUAAACAAGAAAAAUGGAUGAUCGUAAUUCACAUAAAAAACGGUUAGAAAAUAUAAAAUUAAAACCCAUAAACACAUUUGUGCAUAACAAGAGGUGGUCCGUGAAGCAUAUAUCCAGCUACAGGUUCACAGGAUUCUGCAGGUCCAAACACUUUUCACAAACUGUACCGAAAAUGGAAUGAUGAGGAGGCUGGUGGAACAAUCGUGCAUACAUGCCACUUUGAUGACUUUUUAACAAAGCUUUUCCGUAAUAAUAUAUCAAGUGUCAUUGAUAUUAUCUUUAUGAUCAAAUCUUUACAUUCAAUGUACGCUAUAUAGUAAUUUUCAUCAAUUUUACUUAAAAAUGCCUACUUUCGCUUUCGUUGUGGCACGGAAAGCCUCUCGAGGUCACAUAACCCCAAACCGGAACUCCUGUUUUUAGGGUUACAUGCAGUCAGUUUGAUACUUAGCACAUAUUGUUAUGGUUAGUUGUGGUAUCAACUUGAAGGUAUAUUUGUAAGCAAUAAGAAAAUAAACCUUUUCUGUGCUCUACUUUUUGUGUUGAUGGUUCCCGGCUUUGAAAGUAGGUCAUACUAUUUGAGCCCAAAAUGGAUUGUCUGCACAGCUGUCAAAACCGGUUUGCCUAUUCUAAGGUAAAUAUUUUUAAUUAGCGCGUAUAAAAUUUAAUGACAUGCAUUUUUUCAAAAGAUUAUGCAUUUAUUUUUCCAAUGAUGCAUGAUGAUAUAGUGGGUAUGCGCUUGAUCAUGGUAAAAAUUGAUAUCGAACUUAAACUAUUUUAUAUGUAAUAUAGAAGGUAAUUAAUUGCGCAUGCGUAACCUUUAAGCACAUCCGACCAAGUCUGUCGUCUGCAAGAAUAUUGACAAUUGACCAUCAAAACUCUCUGUAUUGCAAAACAUAACUGCCAGAUGGUAUUUUGACCCAAAUUAGGGAUGUUUGCAAUUGGGCUGUUGAACUUGGGAUCAUAAGAGGGGUAAAUGCUAGAAAAUCACACCGAAACCUGUACCGGAGACAUUUUCUAAGACUACUUAAACACGCGGAAUUGUUUUUCAGUGACAUUUUGACAUUAAUUUGAAUCGAUCUCAAUAAUGAACCUUAUGCAUGUCUUUAUUUCAUCUGUAUUUAUUAUUAUUGUUUACUUUUUGAGCCUUUUACUGUUAAAAAUGCCUGCCAAUUUUGGACCGACACUGCUAUCUGCCUUCGCCUUCAACCCCGUCAGGCAGAUCUACUCAGAAUAACACUACCUUGCCUUAUUUUUCCUGUUUGGAUAUCUUGCGGAGUUUAAGUAAAAUCAAGUAUUCAGCUAAAAACACAAAAAUGAUAAUAAUAGUAUGCUUCUUUCCUGGAGUAAUGUUGUUGUGAUAGACCCUGCGUGAAAAACACCAGUGAAUCUGUAUUUAAGUGACCUCAAUAUUAUGCGUAAACCUACGUGUGCAUUUAUAGGCGGUGUCGAAAUGGGUCUUUAGCUCUGCCUGGACUGUCGUCCAAUUGGUUUACAAGUCCGGCUGAAGUGACAGGCCAUCAAAAACUGUAUAGCAUGACUGAUUCGGAGACGGCCCUCAACACUCGCCCAGCUGUGUCGAGAGGAUCGGUGUCUUUGCAGAUUACACGGAAUUGAGCAUCUGGGCCAGACUGACACUUUCCGGAGCCUGUCCGAGACGGAACUCGAGCCGAGGAAUCAUAGGUCCAGGUGUAAUAAAAGACUUAAAGCUCAUGUCUGACGAUGACUUUUUUUAGUCAGUAAUUCAAGUGUGUUGUUUUUUCAUGCAAGCAAGCCCUUUUGUUGGGUCAAAUGACAUUAGAAAAGCGGCUUCUACAUGGAUUUUUACCAUAAAAUGUGCCAUUUUUUAAAAACAAAUUUGUUCGAAUCCGGUUCAAAACCUGCUUUGAUGCACAAAUAUUGCCAUUGAUGAUUUUUUUUCCCUUAUUAAGUCAUAUGUAACAUCAGCGUUGCCUAUUAGAAUCGAAAGUGAUGCCUUGUAUGGAGUCUAAGUGCUGCAUGUAUGAUGUAACCAAGUUUGGCUUUUCUACCUUAAUUCUUGAUGCGAAACGCUGUUACGCAUGGCGCUUUCUACGGCAACUUUAAUGAAUAAAUCUGUGUGUCAUUGUACCGGAACCUAAUGAUCUUUCCCAAAACAGAUUACACCUGUGGGAAAAGUGCCUUUUAAUUCAAAUUCGAAGGGGUUGGGUUCUCUUAAAGGUCACAUAACCCCAAACCGGAACUCCUGUUUUUAGGGUUACAUGCAGUCAGUUUGAUACUUAGCGCACAUUGUUGAGUGCAUGCUGCCUAGGAUUUGUAAAAUACAUUGCAAAUGGUUAGUUUUGGUUUCAACUUGAAGGUAUAUUUGUAAGCAAUUUUGGUUUCCUUAAAAUUAAAAAGAAAACAAAAACAAUAAAAACUGGGCUAAUAUGUUUUUUCUUUGGUUGUUUGUGAUAGAUGUGUUUUUUAAGAGAAAAGAAAAGAACAACAGAAUAAUAGUUAUUAAAUAUGAUUAGUUGUAUAAUGUGGGAAGAAAGCAUACUGGACUUGUGUGUUUUGUUGUAUAUUCACAUUGAUCUUAUAAGAUUGAAAAAAAAUAUACAAAAAUAUUUUAGAAAGAUAAACUAACAACAGAGUGAAAUGUAUAUAAGUGGACAAACAUUAUGAGAAUUUAAUCCGAUUCCAUUUUUGUUCAAAGAAUUGUAAUGUGUCAUUACUGAGGACUAUUUCUUUCUCAAUCUGGAUUUUUAGUUUAAGACUAUGGACAAAACAAUAAAAAUUUGGUGCUUGUUUUUUGUACUUCAUGUUAAAGAUAAAAUAUUUCAUCAAUAUCAGAAUAAAAUUCACAAUAUUAUUACAGUGUAUUGAUUUCAAUGAGUAAAUUCCGAAACUUACAUUAAAGAAAAAUAGUUUAACGUUUAUUUGCUGUUGUUCAAGAAAAGAUACUAAUUGAUUUCAAAUAGGCUGGAUGUGUUUGCACUCCCUAAAAAGAUGUUCUAUAGUUUCUAUGUUUUCACCGCAGAAGUCACACAGAUUUGAGUUAGAUAAUUUGCAUUUAAAGAUAUAUUUAUUUGUAGCUAUAAUUCUAUUGAUGUAUUUUUAUUGAAAAUUUCUCAGUGUGCUUUCAAUAGAUGCUUUAUGUGGCAUUGUAAAUAUGUGUUUCCAAUUAAGUUCAUGUUCUCCGAAAAGGACUUGCCAUUUUGGGGGGUUUUGGAGUUUUCUGUAGUUUUUUUAAUUGUAGUGUGUUAAUUAUUUUACUCGUUUUGUUUUUUCUUCUAAGUAUGUUUUCUACGAAUGUUGUUUGAGUACAUGGUGUAUUAGUUGUAUUGAUUUCAGAUUGAAUAUGUAUGGGUAAGCUUUUGAUUAGUUUGUAGUACUUCGGAAAUUAAUUGAAGGUAUUCCGUAUAUGUAGCAUAUAUCAUCAAAAGAGUAGAAAUCCUUAAUUCUGUAGUUAUAUAAUUGGUGGACAUAUUUAAUGCUUCGUUCAAACCAAUAUUUUUAGCAAAACGUCUUAUUGUUUGAAGUUAUGUCUUUAUUGUUCCAUAAAGUAGUUUUACUGCUGGUUUGGGUUUCUAGGUUAUGAGUGACAUCACUCCAUGCUGAUAGAACAUCAGACAGAAAUAUGUUUUCGUUUGCAAUUUCAUGUAAGAUAGUAUUGCUGAUGUUACAUUCAAAGAGUAAGGAGUCACCAUAUUUUUUUAGGAUUUUCUGGUAGAAUAAUUUCCAUUUACUCGUAUUGGUAUUAUCUAGGUAUCUUUUAACCCAGCUGCAUUUGAUUGCAUUCAAGAAUGAGUCAAUGUUCGUUAAUUGGAUACUUCAUUUCUACAGAUUGAAUUAUCUGAGUUCGUUUUAUUUUAUCAGGCUAACCGUCCCAUGUGAAAUUUAAUAUUGCUGAUUUUAUAUCGUUAAUAACAUCAUUUGGUGGAUUUGGGAGAACAUUCAAUACAUAAAUUAAUUUAGGAAGUGCAAACGUUUUCAAAAAAUGAUAAAAAUAUUAUGCUUCUUUCCUGGAGGAAUGUUGUUGUGAUAGACCCUGCGUGAAAAACACCAGGGAAUCUGUAUUUAAGUGACCUCAAUAUUAUGCGUAAACCUAAGUGUGUAUUUGCAGGCGAUGUCGAAAUGGGUCUUUAGCUCUGCGUGAACUGUCGUCCAAUUGGAUUACAAGUCCGGCUGAAGUGACAGGCCAUCAAAAACUGUACAGCAUGACUGAUUCGGAGACGGCCCUCAACACUCGCCCAGCUGUGUCGAGAGGAUCGGUGUCUUUGCAGAUUACAUGAAUUGAGCACCCGGGCCAGACUGACACUUUCCGGAACCUGUCCGAGACGGAAUUCGAGCCGAAGAAUCAUAGGUCCAGGCGGUGUCGAAAUGGGUCUUUAGCUCUGCCUGGACUGUCGUCCAAUUGGUUUACAAGUCCGGCUGAAGUGACAGGCCAUCAAAAACUGUACAGCAUGACUGAUUCGGAGACGGCCCUCAACACUCGCCCAGCUGUGUCGAGAGGAUCGGUGUCUUUGCAGAUUACACGGAAUUGAGCAUCCGGGCCAGACUGACACUUUCCGGACCCUGUCCGAGACGGAACUCGAGCCGAGGAAUCAUAGGUCCAGAAAGCAAUUUGAAUGAGAAGUGCGAUAAUACGAUGACGACAGUACGAUAACGCGAUAGUACGAUGGCGACCAUGCGAUAAUACGAUGACGAUAGUGCGAAAAUACGAUGGGGACAGUGCGAUAGUACGAUGGCGACAAUGCGAUAGUGCGAUAAUACGAUGACGACAGUGCGACAAUACUAUGGCGACAGUGCAAUAGUACGAUGGCGACAAUGCAAUAGUGCGAUAAUACGAUGACGACAGUCCGACAAUACGAUGGCGACAGUGCGAUAGUACGAUGGCGACAAUGCGAAAGUGCGAUAAUACGAUGACGACAGUGCAUCAAAACGAUGGCGACAGUGCAAAAGUACGAUGGCCACAAUCCGGCAACGCGAUAGUGCGACAAUGGCGACAAUGCUAUAAUACGAUGACGACACUACGAUAACGCGAUAGGACGAUGGAGGCAAUGCGAAAAUACGAUGACGACGGUGCGACAAUACGAUUGCGACAGUGCGAAAGUACGAUGGCAACAAUGCGACAAUGCGAAAGUGAGAUAAUACGAUGACGACAGUGCGCCAAUUAGAUGGCGACAGUGCGAUAGUACGAUGACGACAAUCCGACAAUGCGAUAUUGCGAUAGUUAGAUGGCGACAAUGCGAUAAAACGAUGACGACAGUGCGACAAUACGAUGACGUCAUAGCGAUAGUACGAUGGCGACAAUGUGAUAAUACGGUGGCGACAGUUCGAUAACGCGAUAGCACUGUGAAAUAGCAGUCUGCAGUAACUGCAUAAUUUCCUUCGAAACUAAGAAUUUGAAUAAUUAAAGUAUAUGUUCGUAACCUGUUGCGUAUUUUAAAAUGUUUAAUGUACAGUGUAUCAAAGUAACAUGUAGUUUCAGUUAAGUUAAAUUACUGUAAUUGGCUAUUUUAACAGAAUAACCACCUUCAGCAUUACUUCAAAUAAAAAUAUUUCGAUUUAAGCUCAAAAUCAAUGUAAAGGUUUCGCAUUUGUCAAUAGUUUGUUAUUGAAAAUAACUGCCUACCAUUACUGGAUGUUCCGUUCGCUUAUUCAUAAAUACCAGAAAGAUGAAAUUCGCCUUAUUAAGUAGUGUAUUGACACAAUGUUUCGUAUUAAAAUAUAUACCCGACGUCGUAGAGAAACGGAUUACGAUUUUACCUCGUCAGUCCCCAGUGGUUACUUCACGUUGACUGUGGCAACGAACAAAGACACAUCUACAACUUUCAGUUGUAGAUCUACAUCAAAUAUUAAAUUGUACUGAAGGCAUUUUAUAUUUCAUGGCGAGUUUACUUGUAUUGUUGUUAUGAUGGUAAUCAUUGUGUUUUUUUUUUUCAAUUAUAUUAUAUUGUUUCAUUUAUCUGAUAAAUAAUUUAUCAUAUUUGUUAAAAUAAUUUAUGUAAUUAUAUUUCAGACCAUCAU